UUGUACAUUUUACCCCUUUAUAUGAAGGCAAAAGUAAUUAUAUCCAUUUCAAAACAGACAGGUGGUGCAUAUAUAAUUACUAUUUUAUAUUCCAGACCUUUUAAUUAUAGUUUCAGUUACAUGAACCACUUUCUUGUCAUUCUAGCAAGAAAAGUCCCCCACACAGAGACAUACUUUAAUCUCUACCUUUAAGUUAACUUUCUGCACAUUAAGCCCAUUAACUCCUAUCUGAGCCUCAGCCUUCUACAUAUUUGAAAAUGUUAUUUUUGUCCUUCCUUCAGGCUAAAAGUUGCCACAUUAUUAUUUCCUCAUUGAUUUUUCCCUUUGAAAUCCUCUCUAAUCUAAGUUGAUCUUCCCUAGACCAUCCAAUUUAUCUGCAUUUGGUUUAUCUACCUGAACUUAAUCUCGACACCGAGGAAACAUGAACAGUUGAAUUAAGGGGGAAAUACAUAAAAACUUAAGUCAGCCAAAUUGGAAACAUCAAAUCCUUUUGAACAGAUGGGCUGGUUGGAGCUGGUCACGUCUUAUUGCCAUGAGCAUCUUGAGAAAGGAAGAUGAGGAAUGCGUCCAUUUUCAUGUUUUCAUAAACAGAACAGGAAUGCCAGCCCAACUUUUCAAAGCAUGACAAAUACUGUUAGGAAGAAACUGAGGCACAGCUUGUCUCCUUAGGGAUGGUGAUGGAGUUGAGAGAAGUGGGGAGAUUAUUUUUUUUUUUGCGAACUUGACAUUGAAUGACAUUAUGUUGCUUUUCAGAAGGCUUAAACGAAAUAUGCUGACUGACAUACAAGCGAUUCUUUUCUUGAUGCAUCUAACAGAAAAAGAGUUUUGUUCAACCACUAAGAUACCUUCAUGAGAAACAAUCUAGCUAGAAGCCUUGGGGCCAAACCCCAUCCACUGAGCUUCCCUCUACUAUACUAUCAGUCAUCAUAGUGGAUGAGAGACAAAAAAACAGAUGUAGGGAGAAGGGUUGCAUUGGGAAGAGGAUCUACUGCCAUUUCACCUUAGGGGUACUGAUAUUGCAAUGACCACAUCUAAAUCAAGCCGGAAAGUUCUGUCUACCAGUUGUCUUGAAUGUGGGAGCUCCUAUAUCCAAAUGCAUAAUGUUAAUGAAAUAGAUUAAUUUUACAUGCCCAUUGGCCCCAUGCAUUGCAACAAUAACAGCUAUUUAUUUAUCAACUAUAUUUUAAUACUGCCAACCCUCCAAAAACUAAGACACUAGUGCAUCUGUAACAUCAUUAGUGUUGUACUGCUCCCUCCCAAAAAUACUCAACUGCAAUAAUCCUACAUGAAAUGUUGACCCAAAACAUGCCCAAAGCUGAGCUCAAAUAUUCCACUCCCCCCCCCUUUGUUGAGGACAAAAAGCUUAGCAGUCAUAAAAUCUUAGAGUUUGAUUGGCCUUAAAGGCUCUCCAAUUGAACUCCUACUCAUAGAAUGAAACCUAGAGCUGGAACAUCUCAGCUUCUCUUUGAAGAUAUCUUAAAAAAAAGCUUCAAACCUCCAUAGGUAAUUGGUUCUAUUGUGGAUUGCCGUUAUCAAGAAUUUCUUUCUAAGCACCUUAGCACUCAUGCUUGACCCAUGAUGAAUGCAAUCUAGACACUGCCCCAGUAGUUUAUAAAAUGUCACUGGACAGUAGUGCUGAAGUACUGCAAACCAUGAAUAACAGAAAGAUUAAUAAUUCACCCUGUCUACUUCAGUUUUCCUUUUUUACUGGUUGCCAUCUCUGCUGUUUCAGAGGAUUGUAUGAGGUAAAAAAUACUUCCUAGUCUCACACAACUGCUGAAGCGUCAGAUUAAAAACACGUCACCUAAGAGUACUCAUAAAUUCACCCAGCUCCAUUUGAAAACUAAUCAUGUCCUUUGCCCUACAUUGACUGUUCUUGAAAGACUAGCGCAGAACUUCUCUGCUAUGAUGGAUAACAUCCUUCAUUAAAUUCCAUCCCAAAGCUCAAACAAGAAAUAUCAGAGAAUAGAGUUCUUGCCUUAUGUUCCACCUGAACCAAACCCUAUUCUCAAUUACAGGUAGUUUCAAUGGGAAGAGGUUUCACUGAGAUUUCAACAUGGCUUAGUUUAACUCAAUCCUCAAAACAUUAUGAUGCACCAUUUUUAUCAGUCUUAAACAGCACAUUGGUUAUACAUUUCUUAAUUUAGGACUGCAGUGUCCUGUUAGAAUGAUUUAGUAGAAGUUUUUCACAUAGUAUAAGGUAAAGAGUGUGUCUAAUAUGUUUUUUUCUGCUGUGAGCUAGUUACUGGACAAUUUAAUCCAUUGUAGUUGGUUUUAUAUCAUCAGUGACAUGCUAAAGUCUUGACCAAAGAAGAUAUUUGUGAAGCUGAUAUCUGAGAUCCAAAUAGAGAUUCUGAAGUUUGAAAUUGGGCCCCUCUGAAUCCAAACCAAACUGAGACACGGCUUCUUUUGGUUAUACUGUAUGCCAAAGUGAAAAUCUUAUGGGUUUGGUUUAAGAGCUGAAAUAGGACUCAAUGAGACCAGUUUAAAUCACACCCAGUUAUAGAAAAAUGUUUCAGGCAAGACACAUUUUCUCAGUCCUAGAUGAAGGCAAUGACAAAGCUCAUGUGCAUAAUUUUGCCAGUAAUACCCUAAGGUACAGUUGUCAUAAAUUUUAAUUGACUUGAAUGUACAUAAGCAUGACAAUAAGAACAACCAGAGUCAGCACACCAUAAUGGGAUGAGCUUUGGACUACAACUCUGGAGAUCAGGUUUCAAACCCCCAAUUGGCCAUGAAAACCCAUUGGGAAACCCAUUAGGCAAGUCACACUAUCUAAGCCUCUGAAAAAAGGCUAAUGCAAACUUUCUUCAAACAAAUCUUGCCAAGAAAACCUCAUGAUUGAAUUACCAUAGGGCCCUUACAAAAGCUUGAAGGCACAUAGCAACAAAGAAUAAGGCUAAAAACAAUUAUGGACAGACAUAAGGCUUCUAGGAUCUGCUGUUUCUUUUUAGUUUCAUUAUGAGCCCCGAAUCUCCAUCAUGUUCCUUGACCCAAAUUUAAGGUAAAGGAAACUAUCUAGUUGGGCCAACUGAAUAUAAAUAACUGGCAGCCCUUAAGACUUGACCACUAAGGAUUCUAUUAUUCCAUAUGCCAGAGACAGCAGGGUGCAUUCACUGACUACAGGAUCUUCAAGAUUCAAGAGAAACUCAGUUCUUUAGUAAAAAAUACUCUCUGAAAAUUUAGAAGAGCCAAUAGUCUUCAAGGAACAUGGAAACCAGCUCAAAGUGAGUCUAACCUGUUUCCAUUUCCUUCCUGACACCUGACCUUGUCCUCAACCAAUUUCAAAAGUGAAACUUUCACCCUCUAUCAGUGUAACUGAGCCUAUUAAAACAAGAAAGGAGCCAAAGGCCAGACUGCUAGCCUCUUGGAAGGAAACCUCUUGUUUGCAAAGUUCUGUGCAUCACUAGUUUGAUUUACAAGUAUUGAUGAAACUCAGCUAUGGUUGUCUGCCUUGCAGUUACUUCAGUCAUUGCCGUCUGCCAUUGUUCCUGGAGGUACUAUGCCUUGCAAGCCAUGCUUCAGUUUUUCAGAGUAUUCUGCCAGAUUGGCAGGGUGCUUUCAGAUUAGCAAGAUGUUAGCAGCAACAGCAGGUUCUGGGGAGAUGCAGGUGAAGUGCUUAACAUUUUGCAAAAGAAUGUUGAGUUUCUGCCCACCUGAAGGAAGAGACUUCCCAAAUUGACCUGAAGCAUUUGCUUUUUCAAUGAGUAUUGGAACCUCUGGUAGCAGUAUUCAAAUCUUUGGGUUUUUUUUAAAAUAUGGAACAGGGAAAAAUAAUUAGACAGACUGGAUCAAGUCUAGAUUUCAGGAGAAGUUACUUUUAGUAUUGCAAGCAGAGUUGAAAUAUUAUUGCCUGGAUUUUAUGACUCUUUGUUUCCCAGGAACCACAUGGCCAAAGAGAGGGAAAACCAAUCUCCAUUAAUAUCCCCCCAGACCAUCUUAAUUGACAACAAAAAUAACAUCUAGAUAAAAUGUAUGCCUAUGUCUCUAACACUAUCAUUAUUUUUCUUUUAUGAUUUUUAACACUUUUGUUUAUUUAUUUAUUUAUUUACAUCACUUUUACCCCGCCUUUCUCUCCGAGGAGACUCAACUCAACUUUUGUUGGAUGAAGAAGUCAGUGGAGCAUUGAAGGCAUUAUGUAUUUUGUGCAUUUUUGUUUGGUCCAAUAAAGGUAUAGCUGUUGCCUGGG